CCCUUUCAUGUACUGAGCCUCUACGUGGCGAAAGGAAUCAACAGACAAAAUAUUGUCUGGCUAAUCAGUA
rnacentral:ribozyme from 1 species